rnacentral:rRNA from 1 species
CACGAACCGUACGAACGUUAUUCGGAAUUACUGGGCUUAAAGGGUUUGUAGGCGGCCUUGUAAGUCAGGUGUGAAAUCCCUCGGCUCAACCGAGGAAUGGCGCUUGAUACUGCAAGGCUUGAGGGAGACAGGGGUAAGCGGAACUGAUGGUGGAGCGGUGAAAUGCGUUGAUAUCAUCAGGAACACCGGUGGCGAAAGCGGCUUACUGGGUCUCUUCUGACGCUGAGGAACGAAAGCUAGGGGAGCGAACGGGAUUAGAUACCCCCGUAGUCC